rnacentral:miRNA from 1 species
AGCUGUUUCACGGCGUUCCA